AGGGUUAUAGCUCAGUGGUAGAGCACCUCGUUUACACCGAGAAUGUCUACGGUUCGAAUCCGUAUAGCCCUA
rnacentral:tRNA from 1 species